rnacentral:rRNA from 1 species
UACGUAGGGUGCGAGCGUUGUCCGGAAUUAUUGGGCGUAAAGGGCUCGUAGGCGGUCUGUUGCGUCGGGAGUGAAAACUCAGGGCUUAACCCUGAGCCUGCUUCCGAUACGGGCAGACUAGAGGUAUGCAGGGGAGAACGGAAUUCCUGGUGUAGCGGUGAAAUGCGCAGAUAUCAGGAGGAACACCGGUGGCGAAGGCGGGUCUCUGGGCAGUAACUGACGCUGAGACGCGAAAGCGUGGGGAGCGAACAGG